GGGUGGUAUGCUGCCACCAGCAUACCACUGCAUCCCACUGUGCCACCAGCUACCACUGCAUCCCACUGCUGCCAGCCAGCAUACCACCCUGCAUCCCACUGCUGCCAGCCAGCAUACCACCCGCAUCCCACUGCUGCCAGCCGCAGCAUACCACCCGCUGCAUCCCACUCCUCCAGCCAGCAUUUCGCUACACUCGCAUUAACAUCUGCUAACCAUGUGUAUGUGACAAAUAAAAUUUGUUUGAUUUUGCCAGCCAGCAUACCACCCGCACCCACUGCUGCCACCAGCAUACCACCGCAUCCCACUGCUGCCAGCCAGCAGAUACCACCCUGCAUCCCACCCUGCAUCCCACUACUGCAUACCACCCUGCAUCCCACUGCUGCUAGCCGCAUACCACCCUGCAUCCCACUGCCCACCGCAGCAUACCACCCGACUCCCACCCUGCAUCCCACUACUGCACCACCCUGCAUCCCACUACCACCCUGCAUCCCACUGCUGCCAGCCCCACAACACCCUGCAUCCCACCUGCAUCCACUACUGCAUACCCACCCUGCAUCCCACUGCUGCCAGCGCAACCACCCUGCAUACCACCUCUGCAUCCCACUGCUCAUACCACCCCACCCUGCAUCCCACUGCUGCAUACCACCCUGCAUCCCACUACUGCAUACCACCCUGCAUCCCACUGCUGCAUAACCCCCCCUGCAUCCCACUACUGCAUACCACCCUGCAUCCCACUGCUUGUACCACCCUGCAUACCAACUGCGUUCCACACCCGCAUACUACCCUCACCCUGAUCCCCAGGGCAGUGAAGGGACAUUGCCCUGUGUAGAGUGUGUCUUUUGGAUGGAUGUUAGAACUGAUGUCCUGACUUCCUGUGGUCAUUAAAAAGCCCAUUACUUAUCAUAAGAGUAAGGUGUUAACCCUGAUGUCAUGACAAAAUUCCACAACCUGGUCCCAUUCCCAUCAUAGACCACCUAAUCAACCCCCCCCCCCCCCCCCCCCCCCCCUCUCCAAUGUCAAUUUCUUCCGUUAGCUAGCGAUCAGCGAUGCACCAGCUAGGCCUAUUUGAAAACAUCGCCAUCUACUCAGCAUUUACCCUCCAGAUUCGAAGUUCGAAAACCCCAUUAGAGAAAAAAGCUUCAAAACCACAUUAGAUUUUUUAUCCAAGUUUAGAAGGAAAAAAACAACAACUGAAACACAUUCAUGAUGGUUUUAAUUAUUUUAGUUUGUUUUGCAGUCAAAGAUAUAGUUCCAGUAUAGUUUUCGUUUUUCAGUUUACUCAAUUGUUUUUUCCAAUUUUUGUUUUAUUUAAUUUCAUUUCAGUUUUCGUUUACUAUGAUAAACCUUGGUGUGGUGCAACACAGUAAUGGAGAGAGGAGUGGGGAAAUGUCUGUCUGAAUAAAGCUAUCUGGACCUACUGCUUUUGAGUAAAAUGGUGUGCUAUGCUUUGGUCUGAGACAGGAAUGGAAUAUUAUGUGCAUGUGUGUUUGCUUUGGUCUGAGACAGGAAUGGAAUAUUAUGUGCAUGUGCUUUGGUCUGAGAGAGGAAUGUAAUAUUAUGUGUAUGUGUGUGUGCUUUGGUCUGAGAGAGGAAUGUAAUAUUAUGUGCAUGUGAGAAGGUUGUGAGAGGAAUGUAGGUGCGUGCUUGUGUAUGUUUCUGAAAGGUGAGUGAUGAGGUAACUGUAAUAACCAUUAAAACGUCUCUACUCUGGUCAUAACUGCAGAGAAGUCCACCAUGUUGAUUGUACAGCAGCAGCUUUUUAUACCUCUGUGAAAAGGCUUCUGAUGAGGAACACUCAUUAUAGGUGGUAUCUAAGUGGUAUAACACCUGAGAACGAAUACAUUAGUUUAUGUAGGUCUUUCUCCUUCUGCCUGCUUUUGUGUCUACCUGUCAUUCUGUCCUCAAUGCUACUGAGCUGAAUGAUGAUGACUUGUCUCAGGGAGAGAGAGAAAGAGAAUUAAAGAGAGAAAGAGAGAGGGGGAUAGGGAAGAACUGAAGAGUUGUCUUAAUGGUACUGGGAGAAUGAAAGCGAAUUAUCUCUCUGCAAAUUAUUUCACAGCUAUUCUUUCAAAAUAAUAUUUAUUUAUUGUAAAGACACAUACUGAUGUAAUCAGUUAAUGGGGGCACCUGUCAAUGAUUUUAGAGGUUGAAAUAAUUCUGAUUUAAAUGGUUUCUUUGUCCAGAUCCUUCUACACUUGUAAGAUAUCCAGACACAAUGUGUGCCUGACUACCUCCGGAGGUGGCCAGGAUGAUCUGAUCACAAUCAGAUCACAAUAUGCCUUUUGACGGUCUAAAAAUGUUGGCACAAUCAGAAUGUGGACAAGAUCAGGACAAAARACGCAAGUUAGAACCAUGCAGGUAUAAACGGGCCUAGUGUGUGUGGAGUGUGUGGAGACAGAGUGGAGUUUAGGUUUCAGAGCUCAUAAAGUGCAUCUAAGCAUCAGACAACUUUAUUGUUUACCCCUGGGUCCACUCUGCUCUACCCUGGUAACGCAUUCCACAACAACAGACCCUAACACACCCACCACAGAGACAGAGAGACAGAGACAGAGAGACAUAGAGACAUAGAGACAGAGAGACAGAAGAGAUGAAGUGAUAGGAUGUCGUUACUGUUACAAAACACAAAUGUGUGCAGGUCAGUGUGUGUGUGUCAUCACAGCUUCUCAUGACCAUCAACUGACCUCUGAUCUCUCCGCCCAUGCAACACAUAUCACCAGAAUGGCCCUUACAGGGGUGUCCUUUAACUGUGUGGUGUGUGUGUGAUUUUGUAUGCCAGUUUGUGUGUGUUACAAAUUCCUAUUCAACUUAAAAAAUCUAAUGUAACACCAUCAACACGCUGUUCAGCAAGACACAAAAUACUGUUUUGUGAGGAAAUUAAGGCCUUUUAACAUUGACAAUAGAGUCUACAUAUUUGUUUUGUAUAUGUUUCACAAGAGUUUAGUUUUUCAGAACAAAAACACAACACAUAGCUAACAGGGUCCAGACCUGCAAGAUGUCCUCAUGUAACUGUGACACGGCCAGAGGAAUUCUUGUAAAGACAUUACAAACACAAGUGACAAGCAGUGUGUGUGCAGAGGGGUGAGCCAGGGGACAAGGAUGUGACAUAACAGGAAGAGCCUCCUCCACCCCGUCACCAUCACUGUUCCACAGGGAGAUANAGAGACAGAGAGACAGAGAGACGCGAGACAGAGAGACGUGAGACAGAGAGACAGAGACAGAGAGACAGAGAGACAGAGAGACAGAGAGACAGAGAGACGUGAGACAGAGAGACAGAGAGACGUAGAGAUGUAGAGACAUAGAGACAUAGAGACAGAGAGACAUAGAGACAUAGAGACAUAGAGACAGAGAGACAUAAGAGAUGAAGUGAUAGGAUGUCGUUACUGUUACAAAACACAAAUGUAUACAGGUCAGUGUGUGUGUGUCAUCACAGCUUCUCAUGACCAUCAACUGACCUCUGAUCUCUCCGCCCAUGCAACACAUAUCACCAGAACGGCCCUUACAGGGGUGUCCUUUAACUGUGUGGUGUGUGUGUGUAACAGUAUAACUUUAGACCAUCCCCUCGCCCAUACCCGGGCGCGAACCAGGGACCCUCUGCACACAUCAACAACAGUCACCCACGAAGCACCCAUCGCUCCACAAAAGCCGGGGCCCUUGCAGAGCAAGGGGAACUACUACUUCAAGGUCUCAGAGCAAGUGACGUCACCAAUUGAAACGCUAUUUAGUGCGCACCACAGCUGACUAAGCUAGCGUGUUUUUGUUUGCCAGUUUGUGUGUGUGUGUUACAAAUUCCUAUUCAACUUAAAGAAUCUAAUGUAAACACCAUCAACACGCUGUUCAGCAAGACACAAAAUACUGUUUUGCGAGGAAAUUAAGGCCUUUUAACAUUGACAAUAGAGUCUACAUGUUUGUUUUGUAUAUGUUUCACAAGAGUUUAGUUUUUCAGAAGAAAAACACAACACGUAGCUAACAGGGUCCAGACAUGUAACUGUGACACGGCCAGAGGAAUUCCUGUAAAGACAUUACAAACACAAGUGACAAGCAGUGUGUGUGUGCAGAGGGGUGAGCCAGGGGACAAGGAUGUGACAUAACAGGAAGAGCCUCCUCCACCCCGUCACCAUCACUGUUCCACAGGGAGA
rnacentral:lncRNA from 1 species